UGCCAGACUCCUACGGGAGGCAGCAGUGGGGGAUAUUGCACAAUGGGGGGAACCCUGAUGCAGCGACGCCGCGUGGGCGAAGAAGUAUUUCGGUAUGUAAAGCCCUAUCAGCAGGGAAGAAGAAAUGACGGUACCUGAGUAAGAAGCACCGGCUAAAUACGUGCCAGCAGCCGCGGUAAUACGUAUGGUGCAAGCGUUAUCCGGAUUUACUGGGUGUAAAGGGAGCGCAGGCGGCACGGCAAGCCUGAUGUGAAAGCCCGCGGCCCAACCGCGGGACUGCAUUGGGAACUACCGGGCUGGAGUGCCGGAGAGGUAGGCGGAAUUCCUAGUGUAGCGGUGAAAUGCGUAGAUAUUAGGAGGAACACCAGUGGCGAAGGCGGCCUACUGGACGGUGACUGACGCUGAGGCUCGAAAGCGUGGGGAGCAAACAGGAUUAGAUACCCGUGUACU
rnacentral:rRNA from 1 species